rnacentral:rRNA from 1 species
UACGUAGGGGGCAAGCGUUGUCCGGAUUUAUUGGGCGUAAAGAGCGUGUAGGCGGUUCGGUAGGUCCGUUGUGAAAACUCGAGGCUCAACCUCGAGACGCCGAUGGAAACCAUCGAACUAGAGUCCGGAAGAGGAGAGUGGAAUUCCUGGUGUAGCGGUGAAAUGCGCAGAUAUCAGGAGGAACACCGAUGGCGAAGGCAGCUGCCUGGCCUAGAACUGACGCUGAGGUGCGAAAGCGUGGGGAGCGAACGGG